rnacentral:rRNA from 1 species
GAUGAACGCUGGCGGCGUGCCUAAUACAUGCAAGUCGAGCGAACAGACGAGGAGCUUGCUCCUCUGACGUUAGCGGCGGACGGGUGAGUAACACGUGGAUAACCUACCUAUAAGACUGGGAUAACUUCGGGAAACCGGAGCUAAUACCGGAUAAUAUAUUGAACCGCAUGGUUCAAUAGUGAAAGACGGUUUUGCUGUCACUUAUAGAUGGAUCCGCGCCGCAUUAGCUAGUUGGUAAGGUAACGGCUUACCAAGGCAACGAUGCGUAGCCGACCUGAGAGGGUGAUCGGCCACGCCGGAGCGGAGACACGGUCCAGACUCCUACGGGAGGCAGCAGUAGGGAAUCUUCCGCAAUGGGCGAAAGCCUGACGGAGCAACGCCGCGUGAGUGAUGAAGGUCUGCGGAUCGUAAAACUCUGUUAUUAGGGAAGAACAAAUGUGUAAGUAACUAUGCACGUCUUGACGGUACCUAAACAGAAAGCCACGGCUAACUACG